rnacentral:rRNA from 1 species
GACGAACGCUGGCGGCGUGCUUAACACAUGCAAGUCGAGCGGUAAGGCCUUUCGGGGUACACGAGCGGCGAACGGGUGAGUAACACGUGGGUGAUCUGCCCUGCACUUCGGGAUAAGCCUGGGAAACUGGGUCUAAUACCGGAUAUGACCUCCUAUCGCAUGGUGGGUGGUGGAAAGAUUUAUCGGUGCAGGAUGGGCCCGCGGCCUAUCAGCUUGUUGGUGGGGUAAUGGCCUACCAAGGCGACGACGGGUAGCCGACCUGAGAGGGUGACCGGCCACACUGGGACUGAGGAACGGCCCAGACUCCUACGGGAGGCAGCAGUGGGGAAUAUUGCACAAUGGGCGAAAGCCUGAUGCAGCGACGCCGCGUGGGGGAUGACGGCCUUCGGGUUGUAAACCUCUUUCAGCAGGGACGAAGCGCAAGUGACGGUACCUGCAGAAGAAGCACCGGCUAACUACGU